rnacentral:rRNA from 1 species
UACGAAGGUCCCAAGCGUUAUCCGGAUUUAUUGGGUUUAAAGGGUGCGUAGGCGGGUUAUUAAGUCAGUGGUGAAAGCCUUCAGCUUAACUGAAGAACUGCCAUUGAUACUGAUGAUCUUGAGUAUGAUUGAGGUGGGCGGAAUGCGUCAUGUAGCGGUGAAAUGCUUAGAUAUGACACAGAACACCGAUUGCGAAGGCAGCUCACUAAGCCAUAACUGACGCUGAUGCACGAAAGCGUGGGGAGCAAACAGG